rnacentral:lncRNA from 1 species
GCUUCCCCUUGGGUCAGCUACACCCACAGCACCCUGGCGCCUGCACCAUUCCCCUAAUGUUUAUUAUGUUGUCAUCAUAGUCAAAAUGAUACAAAUUCCAUGCAGCCACUGAGUCAUUCCAAUAUGUUCUCAUCAGGACUUUAGGAAGACGGUAUAUGUCCAUUUUACAGACUAUGAAGCUGAGCCUAGCUGAGGUCACACAAAGCAAAAGAUAAUGGUCAGGAGCUGAGCUUGCUCCCAGGCUCCACAGCCAGAACCUGCAAGGUGGCUAUUUACAGGCGUUUUGGCUGCAAGGUGGGUUGUGGCAUCCGUUGAGCCCCAAAGACUGUAACCCCCACGCUGCCACCUCCUGCACUGUCUGGAAAUAGCUUCAGUCCUGCAAACACUAUCUCAAGGGGCCUAUCUCGCCUUUCCUUACAGCCGCUUGGGGCUUCUCAGCUUUGCUUCCUGUUCUCUCAAGUGCUCAGGAGAAAUCUCAUCCUUUGCACUCUGAGUGGCGUGGUCCCCGGCAUGGCCUAGAGGAUCCCAUGGGCAUGUGUCCUAGGGGGAAGUCGGUAAGGGGACUUCUCAGAUUCAACUCGGAAAUCCUCUGCAUCUCCAGGGGAGUGUGGAUGCCCAGCCAAAUGGAGGUUAUGGACAAGCAGAAGAUGAGACAGAGACUCCCAUUUUCCCACCCAGGUUCUUCACCCUGUGGACUGGGAGACACGCCAGCCUCCUUUUCCAUCUAAGAAAUUGCGGCAGCUGUGACUACUCAGGGCAGAAAUGUUUGGAUACAAGCUGGCAUGGAUCAUCCGGAAAGAUCUAGAGAGAUUCACCGCAACAGCAAGGAAAUGCCAGUUCCUUCCUGUGGAGGAGACUGAAGUCCAGGGUCAGUGACCAGGAUUUGGAGAAAGUUCUGGGGCCUCUACCCUUCAAGUUGAUUUUAUUUGUAUUGGUGCUUUGCCUGCAUGCAUGCCAGUGUUCCAUGUGUGUGUGACUGGGCCACUGAGGCCAUAAGAAGAAAUUCCAGAAGGUACCCCUGGAACUGGAGUGACAGACAGUUAGUUGUGAGUCACCUUUUGGUAUCUGGGAACUGAACCAAGGUCCUCUGGAAGAAUAGCAAGUGCUCUUAACUCCUGAGCCAUCUCUCCACCUUGCUCUGCUUCUGAUAGUAUAUUCUCUUAGACUCUCUAGCCUUUCUGAAGGGUCAUGUUAUCAGAGAUUAAAGAUGGUUUAUGUCUUCCCUCUAAGCCAGAUGCUUCUUUGUUCCUGGAAGGUUAGCUCCUGUUUUGAGGUGUGUCUGCCCAGAAUUGUCUUUCCCUCUAGAUCAGGGUUUCUCGGCCAUCCCAAUGCUGUGACUCCUUAAUACAGUUCCUUGUGUUGAGGUGACCCCCCCCCCACCAUAGAAUCAUUUUCAUUGCUACUACAUAACUGUAAUUUUGCUAUUGCUGUGGAUUUUUAUGUAAAUAUCUGAUAUACAGAAUAUCUGAUAUUCAACCCCUGUGAAAGAAAGGGUCAUUUGAUCCCAAGGAGUAGUGACCCACAGGCUGAGAACUGCUGCUCUAGAUAACCCAUAUCUCACUUUCUCCCCUCUUCGGAUGGCUACUUAAAUGUCAGCUUCUUAUGACGGCCUUCCUGGGACACCCUCAUUAAAGCCAAAUCACCCCUGCCUCCUGUUCUCUCUGUCUCUGUCUCUCUGUCUCU